rnacentral:misc_RNA from 1 species
AAGUCGUAACAAGGUCUCCGUAGGUGAACCUGCGGAGGGAUCAUUACCGAGUGGAGGGCGCUCCGGCGCCCGACCUCCCAACCCUUUGAUUUGAUCAAGACCUCUUCUGCCUCGGGGGUGACCCGGCCCUCCCAACGUGGGGGCGACCCGGUCCUCCCGGUGGUCCAACACAUAUAACCCUGCAUCAAUUGUCGUCGGAUAUUGAAGCGAAUUCAAUCAAAACUUUCAACAACGGAUCUCUUGGUUCUG